rnacentral:rRNA from 1 species
UUGGAGGGCAAGUCUGGUGCCAGCAGCCGCGGUAAUUCCAGCUCCAAUAGCGUAUAUUAAAGUUGUUGCAGUUAAGAAGCUCGUAGUUGAAUUUCGGGAUCAAAUAAUCGGUCGUGCCUCCGGUACGUACUGGUUUUAUUGGUUCCUCCCUUCUGACGAACCGUGAUGUCAUUAAUUUGAUGUGGUGGAGAAUCAGGACUGUUACCUUGAAAAAAUUAGAGUGUUUAAAGCAGGCUAACGCUUGAAUACAUUAGCAUGGAAUAAUGAAAUAGGACGUUCGACCCUAUUUUGUUGGUUUCUAGGAUCGACGUAAUGAUUAAUAGGGAUAGUUGGGGGCAUUAGUAUUCAAUUGUCAGAGGUGAAAUUCUUGGAUUUAUUGAAGACUAACUACUGCGAAAGCAUUUGCCAAGGAUGUUUUCAUUAAUCAAGAACGAAAGUUAGGGGAUCGAAGACGAUCAGAUACCGUCGUAGUCUUAACCAUAAACUAUGCCGACUAGGGAUCGGAUGAUGUUAAUUUUUUAAUGACUCAUUCGGCGCCUUACGGGAAAC